UACGGAGGGUGCGAGCGUUAAUCGGAAUUACUGGGCGUAAAGCGUGCGUAGGCGGCCUGUUAAGUCAGAUGUGAAAGCCCUGGGCUCAACCUGGGAACGGCAUUUGAAACUGGCAAGCUAGAGUUAGGUAGAGGGGAGUGGAAUUCCGGGUGUAGCGGUGAAAUGCGUAGAUAUCCGGAGGAACACCAGUGGCGAAGGCGGCUCCCUGGACCCAAACUGACGCUGAGGUACGAAAGCGUGGGUAGCAAACAGG
rnacentral:rRNA from 1 species